AAUUGGGCCGUAUACUUGCGAGUUAUCAAAAUUUUGACGUCACUGCCGGAGAGUGAACAAAAGUUUUUCCCUAGUUACCUUAUUCCCUUUGUUUAAUUAUAGUUUGCUAAUUAGUUGUCUUCUGUUUUCAGGGAUAACCAAAGACCAAUUGAGAAUGAGAGUGUUUCCAUAGGACAAGGCUAAGUUCUUGUAGAAGUUCUUCUCUACAUCCAAAACCAACAUGUCCAGGUUCUAUCUUUCUAACUCUAUCCGUCUCUCUUUUAGUUUCAGUUUUUAAGUCUUUCGUGUCAUGCUUUCCUUCUUGUCUUUGCAUUGCAUUCCACUUCAUUUUGUUUUUCACAUUAAGGACAAUGUUCAAUUCAAAUCUAGGGGAAGGUUUUUUUUUUUUUUUUUUUUUUUUUUUUUUUUUUUUUUUCAUAUUUUUGUGUUUUUUUAGAGUCAUAAAUGUUUUUCACAUUUUUGUGCAUGUGCGUGUGUUUUUUUUUUCUUUAGUCAUAAAAGAGGGAUUUUUUUUUUGGUUGGUUUAAAUUUUCUUGUGAUUUAUAUAUUGUCAUUCAAUCAGUGAUAUAGAGCUGCCAUGGAGACUUUUCAUAUCAUAAUUUUUUCACUUCCCAAAGCUUUUGCUCUUAGAAUUCUACUGACUAAAGUACCCUACUCAAAUGCUUGAAGGAGAAUAGUGAAGACUACCCUAAUGAGCUAUAUCGAGCCUAUUUAGUUUGUUGAGAGGGUUUAAAGUGUUUCUACUCCUCAUUCCUACUAAUUUUCUUCAAUUCACUCUAAAUGAUCUCAUUAUUCCAUUUUGAUUGAAUACUAAGGAUGAUUCUCUUUUGCAGAUACCAUGUGUUUACUCUCACUCGUGAAUGAACUCACUAAAUUGAUGCUAGGCUAUAUGUGCUUAACCAGUCUAAAUGCUUUCGUUUUAUCCUAGCCAUGUGUCCAUCACCCGUUUGAAGCCAAACACUUCAAGCCUUUUUCUUCCAUCACCCGCAUCAUUCCCCUACAUUUUUAUUGUAAUCUGAGAUAUUUAACUUAUUGUGGCCAUACUCUAUAGCUUAGGAAAAUACCAAGGUGUUGCUAAGAUAAAGUUUGAAGCAAGUUGUUGCCAUGUACUUAAAUGAAAAAAAUUAUGUGUGAAUCUAUGCCAUGAAGUUUAAGGAAGCAGAUCAUAUCAGCAAAUAAGAAGAUAAGUGAAUUUUGAUCUUAUCCAAGUGUGAAAAUUAAGAUCUAUGCCAGGUGAUUACCAUGAAGUUUGCAACCAUGCCAUUCCAAUCUUAUGAUGCCUUGAAGAUUAAGAAAAAAAUGCAACUUUGGUAUGUUCUUAAGUUCGUUGCUUUCCCUUCCAUGUCUUUCAUUUCC
rnacentral:lncRNA from 1 species